UGCCGGCUGCCAUAGCCCACAACGCGGACACCUGCGGUUCCUCAGCCGCCCCAGCUCCCCCUCCUUUGGGGCAUGACUCAGGGCAGGUCCGGCUGGGUCGGUGAUGGGGAUGUGGCUGGCACGGAACUUUCCUGCAGGAGUUUGGAAGAUGCAUGAGACUGUCCCAGCUCAGGCUGCCCAUCCCACCAAAAUUUGUCAUCAAGUUGGAGAAGACUAUUUUGGGUCACACAAGUCUACUUCAUGUCCUUCCUCCGAAUCAGCCCUAGAUAAGAUUUGAAUCCACAUCUACCUCCUAGAAAUUGGUCCAGUAAAAGAUAUUACCUCACCCACCUGGUGUCUUUAAUAGCCUGAGACGAACAAGGCUACAACAACACUGCAUAUAUCUAGUAAAGAGACAGUGCCUGCCCUCAAGAGAUUACCAC